UCAAUUUUUUCUCUCUUCACGAUUCAGGAGCUCCGGGCUCUCUGAAACUGUUUUUCUAUCUUCUUCACAUCGUGGGAGUGCAAUGGUGCAACCUUUUGGAUCUCGGUCGUUUUCUCUUUCUUUUCUUUCCGUAAGCAUCAGGGGGCUUUGUUUUCUGUUUUUUGUUGUUCGUCGCAUUACACUCAUUUCGGUGUGGUGUUCAGAGGCUCGUUGAGCCCGGCAAUUGUAGCGGCGCAUUGUAAUGUUGCGGUGCUGAAACGUCGUCGGUACUACUUGCUCGCAGUGGUUGGUCCAGGUUGUGCGUGCUGGUGUGACGCAACAUUGGUACAUUGCUCUAAGUGGCAGCGACUUUGACUUUAAGCUAGACAUUUUUUGUACCAUAUUGGGCAAUGGCUGUCGUGCAAAGAAUCGGCAGCAGGGGUCUCGUACGUUGUGGGUGCAUUGGGUGAUCAGAGAAGAAGAGCUCCAUAAUUGGUUUUUCCUUAUUGUAAAGCUCGAGUGAUUCCAGCCUGCACCAUCAUCGAUUCGGUGGCUCUGGUGUGGUGUUUGGCGGUAUCAAGCUGCAUUGAUUGUAGUGGUCGAGGCAGAGUUGAUGAUGAUGGAAGACAGCUCAAGGUGGAGGCUUCCCGAAUUCACCCUCAAUUCCAGAAAUUCAAUGGAAUCAAGUUAAGAGGUAGGAAUCAAUUAGGUUAAGAUGCAAUUAAAUUAAUAUUUGGGCUGAAUUAUUUUGGAUGAUUUGUUAACUUGGAUGAACUUAGAUAGAUAUGGAUGAUAAUUUAUAAAUGAAUGUUGCUUAAAAUUA